CAGGUGUUUUUCACAACCGAAAUCCUUGAAGGACACUUUCCUUCAAUCUAUUUCAAUUGAGGACUCAUAAACUCACUUGAGAGGAAAUUCAAAACAAGGGAGACAUCCAUACAAGAUUGCCUGUGUUGGAAUCCCGACUGCUGCUUGGCUUCCAACGGACAUGCUUAUCAAGGACUUGAGAAGGUGCAAUAGUUGUAUAAUCAGAAUGAAAGGAGAAGAUGGAUGCAAUGAGAAGAUAUGAAUAAGUAAGCACUAUAAUGAGAUAGCCCGCAUGGCUGAGAGCAGCAUGGUGCUUUGGUUUCGACAAGAAACAAAGGUAUUUGAUUUGGAGAAUUAUCUUAUUUAAUCGUAACAGAGAAAAUAUAUAGAGAACAAUCAUCCAUUUUAUUCAA